UCUGAUCUGUCCUGUUCUGUUGUGUUCUGAUCUGUUCUCUUCUGAUCUGUUCUCCUCUGAUCUGUUGUUCUGUUCAGGCUUACGUAUAAGUACAAGGGGUUGUUUAGUAGUCUGAAAAAGACAUUCAAGUGUAGUUUACUUUUCUCUUAACUGGCUCCUCUUUAAAGGGAGUGUUUAUCUCUCUUUACCACUGCAAGGGUUUGUGUUGUUUCCCAAAGCAAUAUUCUAGGUUUUACUCCCACCUUUAAGACUCACGAUGUUUUCCAAACCCACACUGUUUUCACAGCUUCAUAGCAUGAGCAAAGAUGAGUCACAUCCUGUCAACAGAAAGUUGAAACCCUGCCACAUGGUAGAGGAGAUGGACUGUCUAGUUGAAACCCUGUCACAUGGUAGAGGAGAUGGACUGUCUAGUUGAAACCCUGUCACAUGGUAGAGGAGAUGGACUGUCUAGUUGAAACCCUGUCACAUGGUAGAGGAGGUGGACUGUCUAGUUGAAACCCUGUCACAUGGUAGAGGAGGUGGACUGUCUAGUUGAAACCCUGUCACAUGGUAGAGGAGGUGGACUGUCUAGUUGAAACCCUGUCACAUGGUAGAGGAGGUGGACUGUCUAGUUGAAACCCUGUCACAUGGUAGAGGAGGUGGACUGUCUAGUUGAAACCCUGUCACAUGGUAGAGGAGGUGGACUGUCUAGUUGAAACCCUGUCACAUGGUAGAGGAGAUGGACUGUCUAGUUGAAACCCUGUCACAUGGUAGAGGAGGUGGACUGUCUAGUUGAAACCCUGUCACAUGGUAGAGGAGGUGGACUGUCUAGUUGAAACCCUGUCACAUGGUAGAGGAGGUGGACUGUCUAGUUGAAACCCUGUCACAUGGUAGAGGAGGUGGACUGUCUAGUUGAAACCAUGUCACAUGGUAGAGGAGGUGGACUGUGUAGUUGAAACCCUGUCACAUGGUAGAGGAGGUGGACUGUCUAGUUGAAACCCUGUCACAUGGUAGAGGAGGUGGACUGUCUAGUUGAAACCCUGUCACAUGGUAGAGGAGGUGGACUGUCUAGUUGAAACCCUGUCACAUGGUAGAGGAGGUGGACUGUCUAGUUGAAACCCUGUCACAUGGUAGAGGAGGUGUACUGUCUAGUUGAAACCCUGUCACAUGGUAGAGGAGGUGGACUGUCUAGUUGAAACCCUGUCACAUGGUAGAGGAGGUGGACUGUCUAGUUGAAACCCUGUCACAUGGUAGAGGAGGUGGACUGUCUAGUUGAAACCCUGUCACAUGGCAGAGGAGGUGGACUGUAUGUUGAAUGAUGAAAUUAGAGGCUCUGCGACGGCAGGAGUGGAACUCUUCUGUUUGCUUUGGCCGUGUCAGCUGCUGAGUCACAGUUUUAUAAUGUUAGUAGAAUCCUCUGCUAUUUGUGUUUCUUCACCUUCAUCCAGUCACUCAACACCUUGGUAUCCAGCCAGGGUUUUCACUCUCUCUUCUGUUCUCCGAGUCCAUCAGCCUUUUCAGCUCUCCCACUUUACCUUAGUUAGAAGAGUUCUGGGCUGU